rnacentral:rRNA from 1 species
GGGGAAUAUUGGACAAUGGGCGAAAGCCUGAUCCAGCAAUUCCGCGUGAGCGAAGAAGGCCUUCGGGUUGUAAAGCUCUUUCGGCAGGGACGAUAAUGACGGUACCUGCAGAAGAAGCCCCGGCUAACUCCGUGCCAGCAGCCGCGGUAAUACGGAGGGGGCUAGCGUUGUUCGGAAUCACUGGGCGUAAAGCGUGCGUAGGCGGCUACUCAAGUCAGGGGUGAAAGCCUGGGGCUCAACCUCAGAAUUGCCUUUGAAACUAGGUAGCUUGAACACGGGAGAGGUAAGUGGAAUUCCGAGUGUAGAGGUGAAAUUCGUAGAUAUUCGGAAGAACACCAGUGGCGAAGGCGGCUUACUGGACCGUUGUUGACGCUGAGGCACGAAAGCGUGGGGAGCAAAC